rnacentral:rRNA from 1 species
UACGGAGGGUGCGAGCGUUGUCCGGAAUCACUGGGCGUAAAGGGCGCGUAGGCGGCCUGAUAAGUAGGGGGUGAAAUCCUGCGGCUUAACCGCAGGGCUGCCUUCUAAACUGUCAGGCUCGAGCACAGUAGAGGCAGGUGGAAUUCCCGGUGUAGCGGUGGAAUGCGUAGAGAUCCGGAAGAACACCGGUGGCGAAGGCGGCCUGCUGGGCAGUGGCUGACGCUGAGGCGCGACAGCGUGGGAGCAAACAGG